rnacentral:rRNA from 1 species
UACAGAGACUGCAAGCGUUAUUCGGAUUCACUGGGCGUAAAGGGUGCGCAGGCGGUCGUGUGUGUCAGGUGUGAAAUCCCGGAGCUUAACUCCGGAACUGCGCCUGAAACUACACGACUAGAGCAUUGGAGAGGGAAGUGGAAUUCAUGGUGUAGCAGUGAAAUGCGUAGAUAUCAUGAGGAACACCAGAGGCGAAGGCGACUUCCUGGACAAUUGCUGACGAUCAGGCACGAAAGCAUGGGGAGCAAAAGGG